rnacentral:rRNA from 1 species
CUACAGGCUUAACACAUGCAAGUCGAGGGGCAGCAUGGUCUUAGCUUGCUAAGGCCGAUGGCGACCGGCGCACGGGUGAGUAACACGUAUCCAACCUGCCGUCUACUCUUGGACAGCCUUCUGAAAGGAAGAUUAAUACAAGAUGGCAUCAUGAGUCCGCAUGUUCACAUGAUUAAAGGUAUUCCGGUAGACGAUGGGGAUGCGUUCCAUUAGAUAGUAGGCGGGGUAACGGCCCACCUAGUCUUCGAUGGAUAGGGGUUCUGAGAGGAAGGUCCCCCACAUUGGAACUGAGACACGGUCCAAACUCCUACGGGAGGCAGCAGUGAGGAAUAUUGGUCAAUGGGCGAGAGCCUGAACCAGCCAAGUAGCGUGAAGGAUGACUGCCCUAUGGGUUGUAAACUUCUUUUAUAAAGGAAUAAAGUCGGGUAUGCAUACCCGUUUGCAUGUACUUUAUGAAUAAGAAUCGGCUAACUCCGUGCCAGCAGCCGCGGUAAUACGGAGGAUCCGAGCGUUAUCCGGAUUUAUUGGGUUUAAAGGGAGCGUAGAUGGAUGUUUAAGUCAGUUGUGAAAGUUUGCGGCUCAACCGUAAAAUUGCAGUUGAUACUGGAUAUCUUGAGUGCAGUUGAGGCAGGCGGAAUUCGUGGUGUAGCGGUGAAAUGCUUAGAUAUCACGAAGAACUCCGAUUGCGAAGGCAGCCUGCUAAGCUGCAACUGACAUUGAGGCUCGAAAGUGUGGGUAUCAAACAGGAUUAGAUACCCUGGUAGUCCACACGGUAAACGAUGAAUACUCGCUGUUUGCGAUAUACAGCAAGCGGCCAAGCGAAAGCGUUAAGUAUUCCACCUGGGGAGUACGCCGGCAACGGUGAAACUCAAAGGAAUUGACGGGGGCCCGCACAAGCGGAGGAACAUGUGGUUUAAUUCGAUGAUACGCGAGGAACCUUACCCGGGCUUAAAUUGCAGAUGAAUUACGGUGAAAGCCGUAAGCCGCAAGGCAUCUGUGAAGGUGCUGCAUGGUUGUCGUCAGCUCGUGCCGUGAGGUGUCGGCUUAAGUGCCAUAACGAGCGCAACCCUUGUUGUCAGUUACUAACAGGUUCCGCUGAGGACUCUGACAAGACUGCCAUCGUAAGAUGUGAGGAAGGUGGGGAUGACGUCAAAUCAGCACGGCCCUUACGUCCGGGGCUACACACGUGUUACAAUGGGGGGUACAGAGGGCCGCUACCACGCGAGUGGAUGCCAAUCCCAAAAACUUCUCUCAGUUCGGACUGGAGUCUGCAACCCGACUCCACGAAGCUGGAUUCGCUAGUAAUCGCGCAUCAGCCACGGCGCGGUGAAUACGUUCCCGGGCCCUGUACACACCGCCCGUCAAGCCAUGGGAGCCGGGGGUACCUGAAGUGCGUAACCGCGAGGAGCGCCCUAGGGUAAAACUGGUGACUGGGGCUAAGUCAUA